UGGGGAAUUUUGGACAAUGGGCGCAAGCCUGAUCCAGCCAUGCCGCGUGCGGGAAGAAGGCCUUCGGGUUGUAAACCGCUUUUGUCAGGGAAGAAAUCUUCUGAGUUAAUACCUCGGGAGGAUGACGGUACCUGAAGAAUAAGCACCGGCUAACUACGUGCCAGCAGCCGCGGUAAUACGUAGGGUGCAAGCGUUAAUCGGAAUUACUGGGCGUAAAGCGUGCGCAGGCGGUUUUGUAAGACAGAGGUGAAAUCCCCGGGCUCAACCUGGGAACUGCCUUUGUGACUGCAAGGCUUGAGUGCGGCAGAGGGGGAUGGAAUUCCGCGUGUAGCAGUGAAAUGCGUAGAUAUGCGGAGGAACACCGAUGGCGAAGGCAAUCCCCUGGGCCUGCACUGACGCUCAUGCACGAAAGCGUGGGGAGCAAACAGGAUUAGAUACCCCUGGUAGUCCACGCCCUAAACGAUGUCAACUGGUUGUUGGGAAGGUUCCUUCUCAGUAACGUAGCUAACGCGUGAAGUUGACCGCCUGGGGAGUACGGCCGCAAGGUUGAAACUCAAAUGAAUUGACGAGGUCAUAGCUG
rnacentral:rRNA from 1 species